rnacentral:snRNA from 1 species
GGAUGUGAGGGCGAUCUGGUUGCGACAUCUGUCACCCCAUUGAUCGCCAGGGUUGAUUCGGCUGAUCUGGCUGGCUAGGCGGGUGUCCCCCUCCCCCCCCCCCCGCGUCCCUCCCGAAGCUGCGCGCUCGGUCGAAGAGGACGACCAUCCCCGCUAGAGGAGGACCGGUCUUCGGUCAAGGGUAUACGAGUAGCUGCGCUCCCCUGCUAGAACCUCCAAACAAGCUCUCAAGGUCCAUUUGUAGGAGAACGUAGGGUAGUCAAGCUUCCAAGACUCCAGACACAUCCAAAUGAGGCGCUGCACGUGGCAGUCUGCCUUUCUUU